rnacentral:rRNA from 2 species
GCUCCCUGAUUCAGCGGCGGACGGGUGAGUAAUGCCUAGGAAUCUGCCUGGUAGUGGGGGACAACGUUUCGAAAGGAACGCUAAUACCGCAUACGUCCUACGGGAGAAAGCAGGGGACCUUCGGGCCUUGCGCUAUCAGAUGAGCCUAGGUCGGAUUAGCUAGUUGGUGAGGUAAUGGCUCACCAAGGCUGCGAUCCGUAACUGGUCUGAGAGGAUGAUCAGUCACACUGGAACUGAGACACGGUCCAGACUCCUACGGGAGGCAGCAGUGGGGAAUAUUGGACAAUGGGCGAAAGCCUGAUCCAGCCAUGCCGCGUGUGUGAAGAAGGUCUUCGGAUUGUAAAGCACUUUAAGUUGGGAGGAAGAGCAGUAAGUUAAUACCUUGCUGUUUUGACGUUACCGACAGAAUAAGCACCGGCUAACUUCGUGCCAGCAGCCGCGGUAAUACGAAGGGUGCAAGCGUUAAUCGGAAUUACUGGGCGUAAAGCGCGCGUAGGUGGUUUGUUAAGUUGGAAGUGAAAGCCCCGGGCUCAACCUGGGAACUGCUUUCAAAACUGGCAAGCUAGAGUAUGGCAGAGGGUGGUGGAAUUUCCUGUGUAGCGGUGAAAUGCGUAGAUAUAGGAAGGAACACCAGUGGCGAAGGCGACCACCUGGGCUAAUACUGACACUGAGGUGCGAAAGC